ensembl:snoRNA LOC120095445 small nucleolar RNA SNORA17
CCUGUCCUUGGAGGCAUUGCUCGUGUGGCUGCUGUGUCACAUGUGUGUCAGUAGAUGGCAGAACGGAGCGAGGUUAUGUCUGUGCUGUGUUCUGACCUGUGAACAUCUGAAUGGUUAGUGACCUAACACU